UACGGAAGGGGCAAGCGUUGUUCGGAAUCAUUGGGCGUAAAGGGCGCGUAGGUGGUUCUGUAUGUCUAUCGUGAAAGCGUACGGCUCAACCGUAUUUUGUCGGUAGAAACUGCAGGACUUGAGGCUGGGAGGGGCUGGUGGAAUUCCCUGUGUAGCGGUGAAAUGCGUAGAGAUGGGGGAGAACACUCGUGGCGAAGGCGGCCAGCUAGACCGGUUCUGACACUGAGGCGCGACAGCGUGGGGAGCGAACAGG
rnacentral:rRNA from 1 species